rnacentral:rRNA from 1 species
GUCCUUCGCAUCGAGACAUCCAUCUCGGUGGGCUCCAGAUUGGCGACGUUGUUCUGGUUUGACAGAUGGGCUGGAGAUCCCCCCUUCGCCGCGCGCUUCCCCGACCUCUUCUCCAUCGCGGUAGAACCCCGGAUCUCUGUUGAGAGGGCCCCUAUUGACCUAGGGCGCCUUACUUUCAGGAGGCCCUUUGGCCCCCCGGAAUCCGCCGCCUGGCGUGAGUUGCUGGACUGCGUGGCUCUUCACGAGCCGGUGGUGGAUAGUAACAUUGACCGGGUGAGAUGGCGCCUCAAACCUUCGGGACAAUUCUCCACCAAGUCUCUGUACCAGGACAUCGCUCCCUCCUCCGCCUCCCCCCUUGUGACGGUGUGGUCCAUCCGCCCACCCCUGAAAAUCCGGAUCUUCAUGUGGCAGUGGAUUCGCGGUCGACUCCCGUCUGGCGUUGAGGUCCGCAAGCGCAAUGGCCCGGGCUCCAGCCUCUGCCCUCUUUGCGGCAUUCCCGAGGACUCGAAUAAUCCGCGCAAUUCGUGUGGAGUUGCUUCCAUGACGUGGUGGGUGGAAAUUGGUGUCAUACCAACUUCCCCGACUUAUAUGACGAGCUCCAGUCCUCCCCCCUGA